AUUGAACGCUGGCGGCAGGCCUAACACAUGCAAGUCGAGCGGAUGAAGGGAGCUUGCUCCUGGAUUCAGCGGCGGACGGGUGAGUAAUGCCUAGGAAUCUGCCUGGUAGUGGGGGAUAACGUCCGGAAACGGGCGCUAAUACCGCAUACGUCCUGAGGGAGAAAGUGGGGGAUCUUCGGACCUCACGCUAUCAGAUGAGCCUAGGUCGGAUUAGCUAGUUGGUGGGGUAAAGGCCUACCAAGGCGACGAUCCGUAACUGGUCUGAGAGGAUGAUCAGUCACACUGGAGCUGAAACACGGUCCAGACUACUACGGGAGGCAGCAGUGGGGAAUAUUGGACAAUGGGCGAAAGCCUGAUACAACCAUGCCGCGUGUGUGGAGAAGGUCUUCGGAUUGUAAAGCACUUUAAGUUGGGGGGAAGGGCAGUAAGUUAAUACCUUGCUGUUUUGACGUUACCAACAGAAUAAGCACCGGCUAACUUCGUG
rnacentral:rRNA from 1 species